GAGCUCAGAUCCAGAUCUGACUCACCUGCCUGUGACUUUAUGCAGGUUAUUUAACUUAGCAGUGUCCUUCCCUAGAAAAUGAUGCCUAUGAUUCCUACCUUCACUACAUGAGAUGAAGUACAUGAAAGGGCCAGGGCAUGUUUCUGAUAGCUAAAUUUCAUCACAAGAAGGAAAAUACAUCUGCAAAAGCAUUCCAUCACAUGAUAGAAGGAUGAAAGACAGCAAGAAGCGAGUAUUUUCCGGCAUUCAACCUACAGGAAUCCUCCACCUGGGCAAUUACCUGGGAGCCAUUGAGAGCUGGGUGAGGUUACAGGAUGAAUAUGACUCUGUAUUAUACAGCAUUGUUGACCUCCACUCCAUUACUGUCCCCCAAGACCCAGCUGUCCUUCGGCAGAGCAUCCUGGACAUGACUGCUGUUCUUCUUGCCUGUGGCAUAAACCCGGAAAAAAGCAUCCUUUUCCAACAAUCUCAGGUGUCUGAACACACACAAUUAAGUUGGAUCCUUUCCUGCAUGGUCAGACUACCUCGAUUACAACAUUUACAUCAGUGGAAGGCAAAGACUACCAAGCAGAAGCACGAUGGCACGGUGGGCCUGCUCACGUACCCAGUACUCCAGGCAGCCGACAUUCUGUUGUACAAGUCCACACACGUUCCUGUUGGGGAGGAUCAAGUCCAGCACAUGGAACUAGUUCAGGAUCUAGCACAAGGUUUCAACAAGAAGUAUGGGGAGUUCUUUCCAGUGCCAGAGUCCAUUCUCACAUCCAUGAAGAAGGUAAAAUCCCUCCGUGAUCCUUCUGCCAAAAUGUCGAAAUCAGACCCUGACAAACUGGCCACCGUCCGAAUAACAGACAGCCCAGAGGAGAUAGUACAGAAAUUCCGCAAGGCUGUGACGGACUUCACCUCGGAGGUCACCUAUGACCCGGCUGGCCGCGCUGGCGUGUCCAACAUAGUGGCGGUGCAUGCCGCGGUGACGGGGCUCUCCGUGGAGGAAGUGGUGCGCCGCAGCGCGGGCAUGAACACUGCUCGCUACAAGCUGGCCGUGGCAGAUGCUGUGAUUGAGAAGUUUGCCCCAAUUAAGCGUGAAAUUGAAAAACUGAAGCUGGACAAGGACCAUUUAGAGAAGGUUUUACAAAUUGGAUCAGCAAAAGCCAAAGAAUUAGCAUACACUGUGUGCCAGGAGGAAACUUUGAAAGGAUUGUGAAUACUGGAAAAUGACAAAACUAAAGACUGCGUGGCUUAUUCAGACAUGAGUGUGGGAACCAGACCUGGGGAGAGAAGUGUUCCCACCAUGAACCAGACGGCCAGUGAGCAGGAAAGGUGUUGUUCCUCAGCAAUAUUCCAGAAGAAAGUUCCUGCACUGAAGGAGGAGAGCAAAUGCUAAAUUAAUGCUUACUGAUGGAAAACAACCCUGAUAAGAGAGAGGUUAGAGGUUGCAAAUUCACAUGGCUUCACGGGACAGGCAAAGAUACUAUUCUGCUCUGGAUACUCCCAGCUUUUAGAGUUAAUUCCUCAGCAUGAGCAGCUUUGAUUUCCCAGAGCGCACCCACAUUAGCCAGCAAGAAGAAAAGAGCAUUGAAGUGCAAGGUGCUACUUAGAUGGCAAUUCAAGAACGCAGAAGUCAUUCUAGUUGGAAAGCCAUAACUUGAUCUCCAGUGCCUAUGUUUGUGAUGGGGAAAUUUUCAAUGAAAAACAAAAAAGAGGAGAAAAUAGAAUGCUCCUUGAAAACAUAUUCUAUGUCUUAUUACACAGUCUGGCACAGGCACAUAAGCCUACAUGAUGCCUUGGCUCCUAUGGGAAAAUCCAAUUGAUUGGCAUUCCUUUUCCAAAAAAUAUAACCUUCUGUGAAGAUAUAUUAAGGUUGUCUCUUUCCUGAUUCUCUCUGGCCAAGCAGAAUACAUUUAUAGGAAAGGAUGUCAUGGAUGUGCUUGGAAUAAGGCCAAACUAGUGCCCCAGUGGAUAGAACCUCUGUGAUGAUCUCAUUAGUAUCCACACGAACUGACCGCUAACCAGUCAUCACAGCUUAUGACAGUGCAGCUCAACUCAUCCCCUUUUCUGUGCAUUCAUAUCCUAAUAAGGUAAGAUCAGGAGGGAAAAGCGGUAGUUCUGGAGAGAAUGUGGGCAGGAAGAGAUAUGACCCAAUCAAAGGAGGAGUCUGAACAAAAAUUUUCCUACCCCUGGACCACUAUUACCCAUCUACAGGGAUACUUGGCACUAUCCAAGGGGAUACCUGCACAUUAACUUCCACUUAACAUGUUCCAUCUUAAGCUGAAUCUUCCCCUUCACCAUACUCUAAGAUGAUUAAUCAAUGUACCCAGCAAUAUGCAAGAUGUUGUAUAUAAUGAAAGUAUUAACAUUGAGUCUCUGAUCUCAUGUUACAGUUCAGUGGGGGAGACAAAAUUUAAACUGAUUAAACAUAGUGCCUCACGAUUUAGCAGAAAUGAUCUUGCUUUGUAGGACACACAUUAGUGCAAGAAACUUGUCAUUUUUUAACUAAAUGGAGUUAAAUUGCCAAUCCUGUUUGUGCUCCUUUGCUUUACAUUUCUCAAACAUUCAACCAACAAUUAUUUGUUGCAUGCUGCCUGUUAUAAGCAAGGCACUAUACUGAACUCAAGAAAAACCAUGGUAAACAUGUAAUAUUCCAAGGAUAUUAGUAUUGAUUAGUAACCCUCCCACACCAAAUUCAGCGUGGCAUUCUAAACAAAUACUUUUUUAAAAUAUGAUUUUAAUCUUCUCUUUCCCCUUCUGGUGUGCAUUUUCAAUCCUAGUACAAAAGCACUGAAAGUAUUUUGGUGGAGUGACAUGCAAAAAAAACAAAAACAAAAACAAGUUUGUGGUGUAAAAGAAUAAACAGUAUUAGCACUCUCUUCUGCCCCUGGAAACAUGAGGACUGUCUGACUGCUCUGGGGGUUCCCGUUCUUUUGGAAGCCCUCAGCUGGUCUUCAGCAGCAAUGAUGACAUUAAGGAAAAUUGCAUUCUGCUGCAGAAUUCAGUCCCUUCAUCUUUCUCCUUUCUCUAGAGCAUGAAGCUAGGGGCCCAUAAAGGAUCUAAUAUCAAAAGGAAGAGGGUAAUACCACUACAUGGAGAAGAAAAAAAUAAUAAUUACCAAAUUUCCUGAAUAGUAAACAGCUUUUAAAAAGAAGAAAUAGCUGAACCCUUUGAUAGCUUGGCCCUUGGUCUGCCCGUGAAUGCCUUAAGGAUUAUAUCAUCAGACUGACUCCAGCAGCCCGCGCUAUUGUUUCAGAAAGAGGAAACUAGAAAGAAGGAAAAGAAGAAGAAAAGGGGAUGGGUGGGAGCAUGUCUGCCUUUUGGGGAGGAGAGCGUUUGAUUUUUGGAAGUGCAGUUAUCAAAUGUAAGGCUAGAAAGACAAAUUGAAAAAAUUCUCAGUGUCUGUGGGCAGGAGGUUUCUGGGGCCAUUUUUUCCUUUUGGGGGGAUUAACAUAGCCUUUGGAUUCAAUAACUUUUCUAUCACAGAUGAAAUUAGCUCUGAAGAGAAAUAAAGCGACCUGAGAUUGCCCAGAAAUGUUAUUCCUGAAAACCAUCACCUGGGGGCAGUCUUGGGACUGUUAAUUUCCUCUACCUCACUGGUAGAUAAUUCACUACUUUUUUUCAACGAUGUACUGUUUCUUUAUCUGUGGUUGAAGAGUGAGAAAAAUGGGCAAGAGAAAAGGAGGCUUAGGCACUAGAACUUUCACUCUCCUCAACCAGCCAGGAAGCGACCCCAUGUGAAUGCGCAGGACGUUCUUGAAGUCGCAGAAGUUUUCCUUUGGAGCUCUGAAGCGGAGCCUCGAAAGCUGGAGGCGGAGGGGUGAGGCAGUACACACUAACUGGUCCACCGACCCUUAAGAUCUCCGCGCCGGAUGAGAUCGAGAAGCCGGGAUUCCCAGAUCCCGGGAACUAAAGGAGGCCUCACCUCCACCCCCACCCCGCACCACUGCACACACACGCCCGGGAGUUCCUGGCCCGCCGCGCCGGGCCAGCCCCUCUGUUCUGAGACCCUUGUCUCCCGCCCACUACCCCGCGGAGCCUUGUCAGCAAAGGAAGACAGGGCGUGGGCCCCGCUAGGGCCCAUGUUUAAUAGUUCACGAAUUCCGGUGGAGGAAACGGAGGCUUCGGCGCUCAGGCCUCCCCUAGGUCUAGUUGCGGCCACAGUUAUAAGCUCUGGUUCAUAACCAAGAGCGCUUGGUGGUUCUCUCCCGGUGCGUUUCCCGGCCCGAAUCUGGGCAUCCCCGGGGACCUCACCUUGGGGUGAAUCAGAGCUUACCCCCAGGCCACGGAAGCCGACCCAGGCGGCCUGCCCCCUCCUUGGGCCGGGCUGGGGCUGCUAGGCGCGUGGCAGCGAAGCUGGAUACGGGCUCACUGUCCGCACCCUGCGCAGUCAGGGCCACCAGGCUACCUCAACCCUUCGUGGUGCUUCCCAUUCCAAAUUAGCAUUGAGAGCCCGUGUGACCUUCGCGUGCCAGCGGAUAGAAUCUGCGAAAGGGAAGCAGACAGUGGCCUUUCCCGUUUCCUGGGCUGUGCGCGGGUGUGCUGGGCCCAAGCGCCCGCUGGGCGUCGGGGCUUCGCCUUGUCGCGUGUGCCUGCGCGGGGCCCGAGCAGCGGCCAGGGCCAGCAGUCAGGCGUGCGAGCCGGAGUACAGGCACAACCCGAGAGCAGGGAGGCCGAACAAAGCCAGGUCCCGCUCCACAGAACAGCAGUGGAGGAACACUUCUCCUUCCUCCCCCACAGGGCCACCCCGUCAAAGAACAAGACACCCUCAAAAGUCGGGAAGGGACACUUCCUGAGGGACAAAACGUCAGGCAGAGAACUCAGAGUUCUUCGAAGGGCUUGGCCUCGGCGUUAACCACGACCCGGUCCCGGGAGCCUCGGGCCCAGUCCCCACGCCCAGUGGGCGCCGCACCAGCCGUGCGACAGGAGCCUGGAUGCCCAGGAGGCGGCUCCAGGGAACUCACGCGCCGCCCGUUUCUCCGGAGGUUGUGCCUAUGGGGCAGGCCUUCCUAGGAAAGAAGGGAAGGGCCGUCGAUUUUCAGAAUCUAAAUAUGUUGAAUUCAAAACAGCAUGGUUUUCCCCUUCUAGAAGACGGAAAAGAGGGUAAUACCCGGGUUGGGGUAGACGGGGACACUCAGCCGCUCUUCAUCUCCAAGCCCCUAGAAAUAGGGCGAGGUUGCCUUUUUGCCACAUCGCCGGCUGCCGAACCCACCCGCGAGUCCGGCUCACCUGGGGAGGUAACGCGGCCAGGUUACAGGGGACGACCCCCAGUUCAAAAACCUCGUCAAAGGUCCCCGCGCGUCCCGGAGCGCGUGAAUU